CAACUCUCUGCCCUUAGCUGAGGCACUAGACCUCAUUGAUGUCAUUUAUGUUUCAGUGGUGUUGGAUUUGAUUGGGUGGAAUUGUGUACUUGGAAAUUUCCUCAUAUUUGAAAAAUGCUGUAUGUAAAAAUAUCACUGGUCUAAAACUAAACUUUUAUGGUACAACUGACAAGUUGACACCACUUUCAAUCCCUUUCUGGAGCAUCUCAAUCGCACAUAUGGGAGAGUAUAACGUGACUGUUUAUGUACUUCAGAAAGAUUGAACUAACCAUCCUUUUUCAAUGGAAACAGGAAGUUGGUCUACCAAAACCCCCUAUACUCUCCUUCACCCCAAGUUGCUCGUAACACAUUCAGACAAUGAGACGUCAGAAACAUCUACGUCGAAGGCUCUUCUGAGAAAGGUGACAAAUAGGAGGCCUGUGAUUGGCUGGAGUUGUUUUUACAUGUGGUUGCGUUUAUGUCCAAGGUAUUGUGAUAAUGUAGACAGGCAUUUUCCACUGAGGUGGACCAAUCAGAUCUCGACACAAACAUCCGCUUCAAAGGCCCUCACCAUCGUCAGCUCCCCCAGCGCCAGUCUCUGAGAUGGAGAGAUCAAGAGCUAUUCUCAUCGCUCUCGUCUGUAAGUAAACUUACAUCUGACCAGAUUCAUCCUAUAGUGCAUCUCAUUUUCAACCGAUUUUCUUUUAUAUAUUAAGAAACGUAAUGACUUUCUGUGUAAAGUUAUGUGAGCUCAUUGUUCUUUCACUGGUGUGUUGUAGGUGCUUUGUUCUCCAGGAUCUCUGGAGCAGAAGUGGAGAUGAGGGUCAGACCAGGAGACGACGUGACUCUCUACAGCGACUGUAUUUGGAAGAGUGGAUUUAGUAUAGUUUGGUUUAGAAACUCCUCAUGUGAGCAUCAACCUCCUCUCAUGAUAUCAACUCCAGAUUUGAUACGUGGUGCUGAUCCACGUUACUCUGCUGUGUGGAAUCCCUCCAACAAAACUCAUGAUCUGCUGGUGAAGAACGUCUCUGAUUCAGAUGUGGGUCUCUACUUCUGCGCUAUGUAUGAGAAAAACAUCACCAAAGACGAAAAGGGAGUUUUACACCCUGUAGAUAUUUAUCACUACGGGAAAAGAACCACUCGACUCUCUCUCCUUGGUCCUUGUGCUGAUCUCCCCCAGACCCCCUCCACCCCUCCUGUCUCAGACUGUAGCGUCUGCUGGAAGCUGCUGGUCAGUGUGUGUCCUGUGUGUGUUCUCCUCUCCUCCACCUGUGUGUGCUGCAUCUACAGACACGCAAAGAAAGCAGAAGCUGGUCAGGAACGGAGGAACAAAGCGCAGAGACGGCGAAGCAGAACAACCGAUGAGGUUGGAGGAGAUGAGGUUUGUUACGCUUCAUUGGACAUCCCAAGCGGGGGAGAGAAACGGCUGAAGAAGAGAGUUGAGGGUUUGGAUUUCAGUACAUAUUCUGAGGUUAAAACUGACGGAAUGUGAAGAUAUUGGACUUUUAAUAAUUCAUAGAAGAAACGUAAAUGUUCCUUACGUUAUAGAGAGAAUCGUCUGCAUAUACUGACCUUGAACGUUGUUGAUGGAACAAAACUGCAACAUUGUGUUAUUUCGCUUUUUAUGGUCCACUGCCUUUUGCGAUUAGAAUGUGCUUAUAUUCAUGUAAAUAAAUAAAUAAAUAAAUAAAUAAAAA
ensembl:lncRNA